rnacentral:rRNA from 1 species
CAGUGAUGGCCGUGUAGUGGACUGCCAUGGCGUUGACGGGAGCGGGGGAUUAGGGUUCGAUUCCGGAGAGGGAGCCUGAGAAAUAGCUACCACUUCUACGGAGGGCAGCAGGCGCGCAAAUUGCCCAAUGUCAAAAAAAAACGAUGAGGCAGCGAAAAGAAAUAGAGCCGAGAGCGCCUUGUGCGUUCUCGUUUUCAAUGGGGGAUAUUUAAACCCAUCCAAAAUCGAGUAACAAUUGGAGGACAAGUCUGGUGCCAGCACCCGCGGUAAUUCCAGCUCCAAAAGCGUAUAUUAAUGCUGU